rnacentral:lncRNA from 1 species
AUGCUGGAGUGUGUGAAUGAAGGCGAGGUUCAAGAUGAAGGCUUUGGGGAAGACCAUAACAUUACUGUGUCAAGUCUCUCUGAUGACCCAAGCUUCUCUGUCUCCUUCCACUCUGUCUCCUUCUCCCAACUUGCUACCAACCCCUCCCUGCCUGUUUCCUCUACCGUGACGGCUACCGCCUCUGACUCUCAACCUGCCAUAUUCUCCACCCUGGCUGCCACCUCCAUACAGCCUGCUGCCUUCUCCACUCUGGCUGCUGGCUCCUCCAUCCAGCCUGCUGGAUCCUUCUCCCAGCCUGCCACCUUCUCCACCCUGGCUGCAACUUCCUCCACCCUGGCUGCUGCAUCCUCCAUCCAGCCUGCUGCCUUCUCCACCCUGGUUGCAACUUCCUACACCCUGGCUGCUGCCUUCCUCCACCCUGGUUGCCACCUCCUCCAUCCAUCCAACCUGCCACCUUCUCCACCCUGGCUGCUGCCUCCUCCAUCCAGCCUGCCACCUCCUCCAUCAAUCCAGCCUGCCACCUUCUCCACCCUGGCUGCUGCCUCCACCAUCCAGCCUGCCGUCUUCUCCACCCUGGCUACCACCUCCUCUGCUUUCUCCGUCUUCUCCACCCUGGCUACCACCUUCUCCACCCUGGCUGCUGCCUUCUCCACUCUGGCUGCUGCCUCCUCCAUCCAGCCUGCCACCUCCUCCAUCAAUCCAGCCUGCCACCUUCUCCACCCUGGCUGCUGCCUCCUCCAUCCGCCUGCCACCUCCUCCAUCAAUCCAGCCUGCCACCUUCUCCACCCUGGCUGCUGCCUCCUCCAUCCAGCCUGCCACCUCCUCCAUCAAUCCAGCCUGCCACCUUCUCCACCCUGGCUGCUGCCUCCUCCAUCCGCCUGCCACCUCCUCCAUCAAUCCAGCCUGCCACCUUCUCCACCCUGGCUGCUGCCUCCACCAUCCAGCCUGCCGUCUUCUCCACCCUGGCUACCACCUCCUCUGCUUUCUCCGUCUUCUCCACCCUGGCUACCACCUCCUCCACCCUGGCUUCUGCUUCCUCCAUCCAGCUUUCCGCCUUCUCCACUCUGA